GCGCCUUUAGUUCAGUCGGUAAUGACGCCGCUGGACAGACCACCUUAAAUCGAAGUGGUCGAGGGUUCGAUUCCCUGAGGGCAUU